GACGAACGCUGGCGGCGUGCUUAACACAUGCAAGUCGAACGGAAAGGCCCUGCUUUUGUGGGGUGCUCGAGUGGCGAACGGGUGAGUAACACGUGAGUAACCUGCCCUUGACUUUGGGAUAACUUCCGGAAACUGGGGCUAAUACCGGAUAGGAGCUCCUGCUGCAUGGUGGGGGUUGGAAAGUUUCGGCGGUUGGGGAUGGACUCGCGGCUUAUCAGCUUGUUGGUGGGGUAGUGGCUUACCAAGGCUUUGACGGGUAGCCGGCCUGAGAGGGUGACCGGCCACAUUGGGACUGAGAUACGGCCCAGACUCCUACGGGAGGCAGCAGUGGGGAAGAGUGCACAAUGGGCGGAAGCCUGAUGCAGCAACGCCGCGGGCGGGAUGACGGCCUUCGGGUUGUAAACCGCUUUCGCCUGUGACGAAGCGUGAGUGAAGGUAAUGGGUAAAGAAGCAGCGGCUAACUACGUG
rnacentral:rRNA from 1 species